rnacentral:lncRNA from 1 species
UUGCAAAUUUGUUGAUUUCUUAGAAUGGAACUAAUUUGAGCCCUUCCUUUUGCAGCUGGGGCUCACUGCCCCCCCCAAAGGGCAGUGAGUCAUUGGGUU